ACCAUUCCCAUUUCAAAAGAUAACAACAACAACAACAACAAAUCAUAGCAUUUCAAAUUCAAGAAUAGCGAGAAGAAGAAGAAGAAGAAGAGAGCUUAAGACAUUCACUUUGACAUCUUCUGAGACAAAUGUCAUUCCAAUUAGCAACUUGAUGCUGGUUAACGCAAACAGUUCGAGCACAAGCAUCAGAGCAAGCGUCGAGCUCAGAUACACCGCAGACAGUAACACAAGUGUCGGGGAUAGGAUCUUUAGAGAAAGCUCCAACUUUUUUCAGCAUUCUUUUGGAAGUGCAAACUCUUUCACAGACAAAGAUUUCAUCAGAGCUUUUCUCUCUUCCUCGAGCACUCUUGAUCCUCUCUUCUUCGCCAUGUCUCUUCUUUAUCCUCCAAGCUUGACCAGCAAUUAGUGCAGGCACUGCUGCUCCUAUCAGUGACCACCACACCUCCACCAUUUUUCUCUUCUUUAAGACUUGAAUUUUACACUGCGCAUUGCAAACAAAAUUGAUCUGGAACACAAGUUCAAAACAAAGGUUGAAUUUUUAAGGAAGAUAACAAUCUGAUAUCGUCGUAAUUGAAAUUAAAAAUCCAACCU